rnacentral:rRNA from 1 species
GAUGAACGCUAGCUACAUGCUUAACACAUGCAAGUCGAGGGCCCAGCACACGGGUGAGUAACACGUAUACACCCUGCCCAUUACCCGAGGAUAGCCUUUCGACAGCAAGAUUCAUACCCUAUAUAAAAGCUGUGGAUGAGUGCCAUUAGGUGGUUGGUGUGUUAACGUCCCACACAGCCUUCGAUGGAUAGGGGUUGUGAGAGGAAGGUCCCCCACCUUGGAACUGGGACACGGUCCAUACUCCUACGGGAGGCAGCAGUGAGGAAUAUGGGUCAAUAGGGGCUAGCCUUAACCAGCCAAGUAGCGUGAAGGAUGAAGGCGUAUGGGUCGUAAACUUCUUUUAUAUAAGAAUAUGUAUUAUAUGAAUAAGGACCGGCUAACUACGUGCCAGCAGCCGCGGUAAUUC